UUUGUUAUCACUAUUUUACAGAAGGUACUGAAGGGAUCUUGCUAAAAUUUCAUAUGUAGGUUCCCCUUGGUCCCUCGUAUUGCAUUUUGGGACCAAUCUAAAAACAACAUGGCCGACAGACAGCCAUUAUUCCCUAAAUCUCAAAUUUCAUAUAUAAGUUCCCCAUGUUUGAAAAGUACUGGAUGGAUGUUUCUGAAUUUACACAGAUUAGUAAGGGGAAGGGAAAAAUAGAGAGAAGAUCAAUCUGACAUGGAACCUAUAAAGGUUAUUCAAUGGUGGGCGCCACGAUCCCUCUGGGAUUUCUAGUUCAGGUUAGGGGUUUGUUAAGGAGUUGAAUGUCUAAGAAAUUAUUAAGUUAUGCCGUAUAUUUUACCAAGUGAAAAUUAUUAUGACCAUCUGCAGAUAAAUCAUUGUAUCAUAAUUAUAUUAGAACCAUAACUUCAUAUCAAUAUUUCAUUGGCCUUUUUUUACAUUAAAAAGAAAUACUGGGCAUUUUUUUUAACUCAUUCGGGUUUAGGGGUUUGUUGGUCCAGGAGUUAAAUUGCUAAGAAAUUAUUGAAUUAUUCCAUAUAUUUUAACACAUGUCUAUAAUAUGCUAGAACAUUCAUCAAUUCAUUUGGAGAACAAAGUCAUCAGGCUCUUAAUAUGAUUGUGUACUAAUAAUUAAAUAAAGAUAUUAUCUGGUCAAUACCAUAUACCGGGUAUGUACAAAUCAUCAGUUUUGAUUGAAUUUUUGCAGUGUUCUUUACUAGUUUAGUUUCACAAUCAUAAUUAGAUUGAAUUUUAAGAAAAUGAUUUGUGUGACUAUGAGAUUAAAUUUGUAUUGAUACUGCCUACUUGAACUAAUCUAGCCAUGUGCUCUGUCCUAUACAUAUACCCAUGUGUUUCAGUAGUAAGUUCACAGUAAUCACAUCAUUGUUGUGACACAAGAAUAACUCGUUCAUUGAUCUCCUGAACCAGUAUUGAUGAGUGGUAGACAAGUUCAUCAUAACUUUGGUACCAUGGUAACAACUUGUUCACUGACCUGAACAAGUAUUGAUGAGUGGUAAACAGGUUCAUCAUAAUCUUGGUACCAUGGUAACAACUCGUUCACUUAUCUCAUGAACCAGUAGAGAUGGAUGGUAGACAGGUUCAUCAUAACUUUGGUACCAUUGUAACAACUCGUUCACUGACCUAUUGAUGAGUGGUUAACAGGUUCAUCAUAGCCUUGGUACCAUGGUAACAACUCGUUCACAGAUCUGAACCAGGAACCAGUAGUGAUUGAUGGUAGACAGGUUCAUCACUACUCUUGGUACCAUGGUAGCAACUGGUUCAUUAUCAUCAAUGGUACCAUACCAACAAGUCAAUUACCGAUCUCCUAAUCCAGUAAAGUUAAGGGUAGAUUCUACCCCCAUGUCAACAGCAAGUAAAAUUGUAGUUAAUUGUUGUUGACUUAACUUUAAGGAUAUUCAAAUGAAAUUUUAUGUGAGAAUAUGUUAUACACGUGAAUUAAAUCAUAUAUAAUUUGAAAUGAUAUGUAAAUGGCGUACUUAGUUAUAUUGAGUACAGUGAUAAUAUAUAGGUAAAAAGAACACUUUUGUAUUAAGGUCUGUCAAUACAUAGCAUGUAUGUAUACUGGCAGUUUUGUUUACUGAUUAUAUUAAUCUUAGACUGUAAUACGAACCCUCAUCAGUCAAUAAAUGGAUGUGUCAAAUGUU